UUUUGUUUGGAGGCCGUACAGAGUUCCUACAGACGAGCAGUCGGAGCUGAUGUUGUGAAGAGACCAUUAAUAAUAAAAUAUGAGCCCACGUCAUGAUGUGACGGUAGUUACAAGUCAACCACAUAGAGACAUAUAUGGCUUCAUUUUAACAAUCUUUGAAGUAAUUGGUUGUUGCUUUGAAGGGAAGUAAAAAGUUCUCCACUCGUUUCAUCAUCAUACUUUCAUUCUGCAGAAUGAAGUCGUGCGUCGAGCUUCUCUUUGUUUCUCUGCUGACAUUAUGUGAAGCACAAGGAACCAUUGUGACUCCUGUGUUUGUGCUGAAGGGACGUGAUCUGCUCCUCAAGCUUCAUGCUGAUCCUCCUGAGGGGGUUUUAUUUGUUGACUGGAAAAUCAAUAAAACAGUCGAUUUAGUAAGAUUUAAACCUAGUGGAGAAGAAACUGUCCUUCGUAAUUCCACUGGAGGGUUUGAGUUUCCUGAGAAUAAAUUCUCUGUGAUAUUGAAGAAUGUACAAGAGGUCGACAGUGGAGUUUAUUCUGCUGAAGCAGGAACACUUCAAGGAAACAAACUACUGACCGAAUACAAGGUCACAGUUCAAGGACCAGCGUCUCCAGUUGAACUGAUCGUGGACCGAGUGGACUCCAGCAGCUCAGA